UUUCCUUACCAUUUGCACCUGAAAGAAACACCCUUCUCCGGUAUCUGAUCCAGCAAACUUGGUUGGGAAACCCUGUGUUGAAUUUUGAGAAUGUACCCAACUUUUUGUACAGCGCUUUACACCUGCUAAAAUUUACCUUGUUUAAUGCAGAAAGAGACCUUGAAAGGUCAGUCAUGAAAUCUGGUUUGAUUAUUAAUAGCUAUCUUUUAGGAAGAAGCUUUUUCCCUAUGUACGAUGUCAUACUGCAGACUUAAAAUAUAGACUAUCAAUAAAAUGCAUGAAG
rnacentral:lncRNA from 1 species